UACGUAGGCAGCAAGCGUUGUUCGGAUUUACUGGGCGUAAAGAGUGCGUAGGCGGUGUCGAAAGUUUGGCGUGAAAUCUCCCGGCUUAACUGGGAGGGUGCGCCGAAAACUGCGGUGCUGGAGUGUGGGAAAGGCAAGCGGAAUUCCUGGUGUAGCGGUGAAAUGCGUAGAUAUCAGGAGGAACACCGGCGGUGUAGACGGCUUGCUAGGCCAUAACUGACGCUGAGGCGCGAAAGCGUGGGUAGCAAACAGG
rnacentral:rRNA from 1 species